rnacentral:tRNA from 1 species
UGGCUAAGUGGUAAAGCACUUGGCUUUUGAAUUGGGAGUCCCAGGUUCAAAUCCUGG